AUACGGAGGGUGCAAGCGUUAAUCGGAAUUACUGGGCGUAAAGCGCGCGUAGGCGGCUUUGUAAGUCGGAUGUGAAAGCCCCGGGCUCAACCUGGGAAUUGCAUUCGAUACUGCAGAGCUAGAGUAUGGUAGAGGGAAGUGGAAUUUCCGGUGUAGCGGUGAAAUGCGUAGAUAUCGGAAGGAACACCAGUGGCGAAGGCGACUUCCUGGGCCAAUACUGACGCUAAGGUGCGAAAGCGUGGGGAGCAAACAGGAUUAGAAACCCCGGUAGUCC
rnacentral:rRNA from 1 species